rnacentral:rRNA from 1 species
AUACGGAGGGUGCAAGCGUUACUCGGAAUCACUGGGCGUAAAGCUCGCGCAGGCGGCUAUUUAAGUUGGAUGUGAAAGCCUAUGGCUCAACCAUAGAACUGCAUCCAAAACUAUUUAGCUAGAGUGUGGGAGAGGAAGAUGGAAUUAGUUGUGUAGGGGUAAAAUCCGUAGAGAUAACUAGGAAUACCAAAAGCGAAGGCAAUCUUCUGGAACACUACUGACGCUGAGGCGCGAAAGCGUGGGGAGCAAACAGGAUUAGAUACCCUAGUAGUCC